GAGGUUACAAAAACCCCGUGUCGUCGUCGAGUGCUGGCAAGUCGCAAAGUGGAACGCAAAGGCGAACGAGCUAAACCAAAACGCGGAAUCUAUACCCACAGUAUACAGUAUAUAUAUAUAUAUGUAUAUAUAUCUGUAUAUAUAUAUAUCUAUUUAAAUACAUAUCCAAAAGUGCCCUGAAGAGAACUCUACAGAGUUGAGAGUUUGUCGGACUUCGACUGGGGUCUGGUGGCUGGCUGGCUGUUGACUGCUUUUGUGUACGUUGCUUACCUGUCGUGUUGGCCACGUUUGUGACGAUCUGAUCAGUGCACCGUCAGCCAGCGGCGCGCUCGGUUCGUACGAGCAGAGCGCGCACCCAACAACAGCAACAAGAGCCGAACCCCACAUCCAGAGAACUAGCAAUCGCAGAGAUACCAAAGAACAAAAAAAGUGUUUGAUAAACUGAUAAUACAAUAGAACCCAAAAGAAUAUUUGCAAUCAGAAACGAAACGUGGCGCACACCUAUAAAUAAUACAUAUACACUCGUAUAUCUUUAAACCCAAAAGACAUAUCUAUCAACUAAUACCGAUACGAAAUAACAGCGAGCGAAAAAUGAAAAGACAAAACCCCAACUAAACAUAGCGGUAAAGUGUCAAUAAAACUCUCGAAUUCAUUAACACAACUCACAAAACGUUCUAUUAGUAAGCACUUGCAAAUUUCAACGAAAAGUUCCAGCGGAAAGAUAGCUGAAAACCGCUGAAAACACUGAACGGAACUGAACUGGAGACAGAGUCCCAUACAGAUAUGAAGAUAUAUAUAUAUAUAUAUAUGUAUAUAUAUAGAGAGAGAGACAGAGAGAGAGGUGGCCUAGACGAGACCAGACUAGACACAAAUUAGCGUGGCCAUCAGUCAAAAGGUCUAAUAGAAGCGCGUGUAUACGAGUAUAUACCCAUAUAGCUGUAUUCCAUACCUCGUACACCUCACCGAGAGACCCCAAAAGCCAUGAUCGUAAAAAUGUCGACAAAAAAUAACCAACCGAAACGAUGGCGACGAGUCGAGACGAGACGAGACGCGAGGCUUGAUGCUUUCAUGUCCUUGGCCUGUAAAAGGGCAGUCAAAUUCUUGGCACUCCAUAACAACAACAUCAUCAAAGACGUACAGCGAUUGCAAUGAUUCCCAGGAGUCCUUUCAGCGGAACCGUAUCGGAGCCAGAGGCCAAACCCCCCGCUGACGAGAACCAGAGCAGAGCCAGAGUCAGAGCACCUCUGAGACAAAUGCUGUGGACUCUCGUCUUGUCAAUCAAUUGGCCUGUGAUGGGGCCUAGGAACUGGAACUGGAAAUGGUCGUCGCAUCGAAUGCUUCCUGUUCGGGUAAGUUGAUACGUUGGACCAGGCUCUGGGUCUAGCUUAAUGAGCGACCCCGACCCCGACCCCGAGUUGACCUCAAAGCGGACUGAAAGCAAACCAAUUUAUCAAAAUGGAAAGAAGCACUGAAACAACUCCACGCAUAAUUAAACCAAACCAAAACAGAAAUACACAAUGGAAAGGAAAAAAUGAGAAACAGCAACAGAAACAGAAACAUAAAGAUAUCCAAAUGCGUUUUUAAACCGUUGAGCAACGCCUCUUUCUAACA